rnacentral:lncRNA from 1 species
GGGGAAGAGGAGGAAAGUAGCAGGGAUGAUGGGAAAGUGCAUGAAACGGAGGAACAUGACAGUAAAACACCUGAGGGAGAAAGAAGCAAUAACACCACUGCAGAAACUACAGAGAAAGAGAAGACCACCGAAGAAAAGAAAAUACUUCAUCAAGAGAGAGAAAAUACCCCCGACACUCAUCCUGAGAACAGUUCUUCAGGGGCAAUUUUGGAAAGUGGUGAUGAUAGAAUAUCUGGAGGAAUACUUGGAAGGACUAAAAAGUUUUCUCUGUUUAAGCGAAAGUCGUUGACAAGUCAGAAAAAUGUACAUAACACCAAUGAAGGUAAAUCUGAAAAGCCACUCCAAAGUGAAAAAGAUAAAGGAAAGGAAGCAGGUUUAUCUGGCGAUGACAGGAAAGACGAAAACCAAAAUCACACGAGGGAGAAUCGUAAGGAAACCACAACUAACCAGGGCAGAAAGACCAAGUCUUCUACUUGUGUAAUACUGUAAUGCUGUCAGAAUAUAUAUUUGACAGGCUGCAAGCACAUGUUGCAAUUUAUACUUGAAAACAAUUAUGACUUCUUAUUACUGAUGACAGAUUUUAAAAAAAUAAUUAAGUUGUUUGCCUUGGUUUUGGACUUGAAGACCAUGGUUUUGGUAUUUAUUUCUUUUGAUAAUUUUAGUAAUUGAAACUGAUGAGCUUAAUAGAAUGUAACUGAAGUGUUGUGGCCUUAACUGUUCAGUGUUGUAAUAAAAAUAUAUUUUUG